GAGAUAGAGAUAUGUUUGUUUUGGGUUGUUCAGGUUCAAGAUUGUUCAAGAAGAAAGGCUUUAAAGGAUCAUUUGCAGAUGCAGGGCAGUCUGCAAAGACUUUUGCUGUUUUAUCUGGAGUCCAUAGUUUGGUUGUUUGCCUUCUCAAGCAAGUGCGUGGGAAAGAUGACGCCAUUAAUGUUGGAGUUGCGGGAUGCUGCACUGGUCUUGCUCUUAGUUUC